rnacentral:misc_RNA from 1 species
AACGCACCUUGCACCCUUUGGUAUUCCGAAGGGUAUGCCUGUUUGAGUGUCAUUAAAUUCUCAACCAUUGAAGUUUAUUCUUCUCUGGCUUGGAUGUGGGGGUUGCGGGCCUCUCAGAGGUCGGCUCCUCUUAAAUGCAUUAGUGGGAACCGUUUGUAGGGGUUCAUUUAUUAUUCACUUGACGUGAUAAUUUAUCUGCGUCACUUUUUGAAUACGAACUCUGAGGCUUCUGCUUCUAACCGCCCCGCAAGGGACAAACCUGACAUCUUUAUUUGACCUCAAAUCAGGUAGGACUACCCGCUGAACUUAA